rnacentral:rRNA from 1 species
GAUGGUAGUGUAUUGGACUACCAUGGCUUUAACGGGUAACGGAGGAUUAGGGUUCGAUUCCGGAGAGGGAGCCUGAGAAACGGCUACCACAUCUAAGGAAGGCAGCAGGCGCGUAAAUUACCCAAUCGCGACUCGCGGAGGUAGUGACAAGAAAUAACGGACCGAAGCCUAUGUUUCGGGAUUGCAAUGAGUAGAAUUUAAACCCCUCUACGAGGAUCAAUUGGAGGGCAAGUCUGGUGCCAGCAGCCGCGGUAAUA